rnacentral:lncRNA from 1 species
GUAGGUAAGGCUGCAGCUACAUGAUGGAUUUAUGGAGUGGAAUAAAGGUACAGUUUCUGGGGACUUCCUGAUAAUGCCAUGUCCAGUGGUCAAAGUUAAUGGAAGACUACUAUAACUUUACACUUGAUCCCAGCCGAAAGACUGAGAAACGAUAACCACUAUAACCUUAAUCAGACAGGACUACAGGGGAUUUGGGUGCCUUAGUGGACAUAGAAUAUCAACCAGCUGAAGUUCCAGUUAGAGGAAGGACCAUGUGCUGUGGAGAUCUGGGAAAGAAUUUGCAAGGAGAGAGGAAGAUGUCUGUAGAGAUGAGGGCCCCUGGGGACCCAAGAAGUGGAAAAGUUUCUGGAUAUGGCCAACUUUGAGGGAGCCUAUGCAAAUUCUGGGAUGGAGCAUGAGAUCCAAGGAUUGAAGAGCCAAGUCUUUGGAAGGAUUCUCAAAAAUCAAGCCCCACCCUGGCAUCUGACAAAUGGAAGAACUGAG